rnacentral:rRNA from 1 species
AUUGAACGCUGGCGGCAGGCCUAACACAUGCAAGUCGAGCGAGCGGCGGAAGGGUGAGUGAUGUAUGGGGACUGACCGAUGGAGGGGGGGCACUACUGGAGACGGUGGCGAAUGCCGCAUACAGACCGAAAAUCCAUAUGGGAUUAGCUAGUAGGUAAGGUAAUGGCUUAUCUAGGCGACGAUCCCUAGCUGGUCUGAGAGGAUGAUCAGGCCCACUGGGACGGAGACACGGCCCAGACGCCUACGGAGGCAGCAGUGGGUAAUAUUGCACAAUGGGCGCAAGCCUGAUGCAGCCAUGCCGCGUGUAUGAAGAAGGCCCUAGGGUUGUAAAGUACUUUCAGUCGGGAGGCGUUACCGACAGAAGAAGCACCGGCUAACUCCGUGCCAGCCGCCGCGGUAAUAC